CCUACGGGUGACAGCAGUGGGGAAUAUUGCACAAUGGACGGAAGCCUGAUGCAGCGACGCCGCGUGAGUGAAGAAGUAAUUCGUUAUGUAAAGCUCUAUCAGCAGGGAAGAAAGUGACGGUACCUGAAAAAGAAGCUCCGGCUAAAUACGUGCCAGCAGCCGCGGUAAUACGUAGGGCGAGAGCGUUAACCGGAUUUACUGGGUGUAAAGGGAGAGUAGGUGGCAGAGCAAGUCCGAAGUGAAAACCCAAGGCUCAACUAUGGGAAUGCUUUAGAAACUGCUCAGCUAGAGUGCAGGAGAGGCAAGUGGAAUUCUUAGUGUAGCAGUGAAAUGCGUAGAUAUUAGGAGGAACACCAGUGGCGAAGGCGGCUUGCUGGACUGUAACUGACGCUGAGGCUCGAAAGCGUGGGGAGCAAACAGGAUUAGAUACCCUUGUAGUC
rnacentral:rRNA from 1 species